rnacentral:lncRNA from 1 species
UUCUCUAAUAAUUCUUGUUAAAAGUGUUUAAUGUUAGUUAGGAAAACAUGAAAGUAACUUAUUAAUGUUAGUUGUAGUUGUAUCAAGUAAAAAAUUUAUAUUGUUGUUGUUGAAAUUUAGUAUUUAACGAUUCUAUUGAUUUUAUUUAUUUUGUUGUUGUUAUUCUUGCAGUUGUUGUUGUUGUUGUUGUCGUUGAGAUUUAAUGUUUAAAGAUUCCAUGGUUUUUGUUGUUGUUGUUGUUGUUUUUG